AUGUUUGGUGUCAGUCCAUCUGUGCUACAGCUCCAGCUUCAUUUGCCAAACAUGCAUACAGUUGCGUUUAAAGCUUCUGAGAAUCUAGAAGAUGUUGUCGCUCGACCAUCUUCUUCCAAGUCCAUGCUUACAGAGUACUUUGAGAUGAACCGAAAAUUUCCAGCGGCACGGAAAUGGUUGUAUAGAGAGUUUCCAAAACAUUAUAGAUGGAUAGCUGGAAAAAAGAUGUGGCAAAAUAGAAGAAAUAAGAGAGCACAGAUUGGAAGACUUGUGUAUGCACACCCUGCUGAAGGAGAGAGGUACUACUUGUGUGUGCUCCUAAGUCAUGUCCGAGGUGCCACUUCAUUUGAUGAUUUUGAAACCGUAAAUGGCAAGCCAUGCAGUUCCUUCAGGGAGGCAUGUGAGCACUUAGGCCACAUUGAGCACGACAGGAGUCUUGAUGAUUGCAUGAUGGAGGCUGCCGCAUUUCAGAUGCCUUGUGCCUUAAGACUGUUAUUUGCAACUAUACUGGUAUUCUGCGAGGCAACAGAAAUCUGA
rnacentral:rRNA from 1 species